GGCAACCAAUCAGAGCUCUUGUCUGUUAUCACAUCCGAAUGCAAACGAGUGUUUCUUUCUCGUUAGUCGGCAGUCAUCGUUCGAGGUCUACUUGGCGGCGAAAACAGACUGUUGGAAUACCCGGCACUGAGCAGAAACACAGAGUUGUCCCUCCUGUCACGCCAAAGAUCAAAAUUGACCUCUGGAAGAAGUUGGCAAUUGAAGAGGAGGCAAUGAUGUAUCUAAGCAGGCCCUUCCUAACCACUGCAGAAGAAAAGCACAUGCCAAGAGAAU